GAUGAAGAACGUAGCGAAAUGCGAUAAGUAAUGUGAAUUGCAGAAUUCAGUGAAUCAUCGAAUCUUUGAACGCACAUUGCGCCCAUUAGUAUUCUAGUGGGCAUGCCUGUUCGAGCGUCAUUAAGUCCACUUAAGCCCUGCUUAGUGUUGGGAGACUGCUCCAGCGGUGCUACCCUGUAGCUACCCUGCAGCUCCUCAAAGACAGCGGCGGAGUUGUGGUAUCCUCUGAGCUUAGUAACUUGUUCUAGCUUUCGAGUACACCAAUUCCCCUGCCGUAAAACCCUUAAUUUUUAAUGGUUGACCUCGGUUCAGGAAGGAAUACCCGCUGAACUUAAGCAUAUCAAUAAGCGGAGGA
rnacentral:misc_RNA from 1 species